rnacentral:rRNA from 1 species
GACGAACGCUGGCGGCGUGCUUAACACAUGCAAGUCGAACGAUGAAGGAGAGCUUGCUCUCCGGAUUAGUGGCGAACGGGUGAGUAACACGUGACUAACCUGCCCCUUUCUCUGGGAUAACGCUCCGAAAGGAGUGCUAAUACCGGAUACGAACUCUGAACACAUGUUCGGAGUUGGAAAGUUUUUCGGAAAGGGAUGGAGUCGCGGCCUAUCAGCUUGUUGGGGAGGUAAUGGCUCACCAAGGCGACGACGGGUAGUCGGCCUGAGAGGGCGACCGGCCACACUGGGACUGAGACACGGCCCAGACUCCUACGGGAGGCAGCAGUGGGGAAGAUUGCACAAUGGGCGAAAGCCUGAUGCAGCGACGCCGCGUGAGGGAUGAAGGUCUUCGGAUUGUAAACCUCUUUCAGUAGGGACGAAGCGAAAGUGACGGUACCUAAAGAAGAAGCACCGGCUAACUACGUGCCAGCCGCCGCCGUAA